rnacentral:rRNA from 1 species
UACGUAGGGACCAAGCGUUGUUCGGAUUUACUGGGCGUAAAGGGCGCGUAGGCGGCAUGACAAGUCACUUGUGAAAUCUCUGGGCUUAACCCAGAACGGCCAAGUGAUACUGUCGCGCUAGAGUGCAGAAAGGGCAAUCGGAAUUCUUGGUGUAGCGGUGAAAUGCGUAGAUAUCAAGAGGAACACCUGAGGCGAAGGCGGGUUGCUAGGCUGACACUGACGCUGAGGCGCGAAAGCUAGGGGAGCGAACGGG